rnacentral:lncRNA from 1 species
AGGCAUCGUGCAAAUUUCAAAGUUAAUUAUGUUCAUGUUUAUGGCAAAUGAGAAUAUUUUAAAAAAAUUUUGUAUAAUUGGAGCCUACGAACAAUAGUUUUGUUUAAAAGUGUUUCUCCGCUGUACAAACGAGAGUGCAACAAGCAUUUUUAAAGGAGGAGAGCCUAAAACCUUAACAAACAGCUAUCACUUUUAUUUUUAACAAAAUCAAUCAACUGUAUUUUGCGAGAUAUUAACAGUUUUUGUUAUAAAGAUCAGACCGUAAAAAAAUUUGUAAUUAAACUAUGAAAAUUGAACCACACGAAAGAUCUGCAUUCCUUGAAAAGGAGCUAACACAGAUAAAAAAUUUGUCAUUUUGCAUUUCUACUUUAGUGCUUUGAACAAGUAAAGUUUAUUUGCAUUUAAAAUAUUUAUUGAAGUAAUUUUAUGAUAAAACUUUCAAUCAAGUAAUUUAAAUAUAAUUUAUCCCCAAUGACUUUAGCCAUAUUUUAAAAUCAGUUGGUAUAUUUCAUUAUAAAAGAAUGUAACGUAAAUCAUAUUACAGCACAGUACGGGUUAAUGUGGAUCUAUACAAUACAAGAAUUGUGUUCUAUAGACCCACUUUAACACUUUCAGUGCUCUUUUCCUAAUGUAGCUUACUAAAAAUUAUCCCUA